rnacentral:rRNA from 1 species
CGGCGGACGGGUGAGUAACGCGUGGGUAACCUGCCUCAUACAGGGGGAUAACAGUUAGAAAUAGACUGCUAAUACCGCAUAAGACCACGGUACCGCAUGGUACAGUGGUAAAAACUCCGGUGGUAUGAGAUGGACCCGCGUCUGAUUAGGUAGUUGGUGGGGUAACGGCCUACCAAGCCGACGAUCAGUAGCCGACCUGAGAGGGUGACCGGCCACAUUGGGACUGAGACACGGCCCAG